AUGAAGGCAGAGGGAGAGAACGCGCUGGGCGCGUCGCCGAAGGAGCAAGCACACCUUUUAAUCUCUCAGGCAAAAGUACUUCUGCGGGACG
rfam:Aneurinibacillus migulanus strain DSM 2895 super7, whole genome shotgun sequence.